rnacentral:tRNA from 1 species
GGGACCGUAGUCUAGUGGCUAUGAUGCUGCCCUGACUAGGCAGUGGUCCGGGGUUCGAAUCCCCGCGGUCCCA